rnacentral:lncRNA from 1 species
GAAGUAACAAAUAUUUUAGCUGCCUUAACAACACACAUGUGAGCCAGAGAUUGGGUAUAAACCCCAAGAAAAUUCAUCACCUUAGUGAAGUUUCUGGAGGUCCAGUGGUCUAGAAAACACCAGGAUAUUCUCCCCAACGUAAAAGACAAAUUACUUCACCUUGUACCAUCUACCACUAAGAAAAGAGACACAAUACUUUCUGGGUAUCCUUGGAUUUUAGAGGCAAUAUGUAUCACAUCUGAGUGUGAUGCUGUGACCCAUUUAUAGAGCAACCCAUAAGGCUGGAAUUUUUUAUUAGGAAUAAGGGGAGAAGAAAUAUCUGUAGCAGGACUUGAUGACCCAGAGGAAUCCAAUGAUACUUAAAGUGUCUGUGGCAAAUAAGGAUGCUAUAUAGAGCCUCUGGUGAGCCCUGAUUAGAUCUACAAUGCAGAAUUCCUUAGUUGUAGAGCAAGUCAUGCCCUCUUCUGCAGAUAACAAUUUUCUAUUUGAGGAAUGGUCCCUAGCUUGCUAAGUGAAUUUGAAUGACUGGCCAUGAGACAAUCAAGUGACUGCAAGCUCAGCUGCCCAUUAUGAACUGAGUGUAAUCUAAUCUACCAAUCCAUAAGACCAGACAUACACAAGAGGAAUUCCUCAUCAAAUGGAAAUGAAAAAUCAGAUUCAUCAAGUGACUCUUCAGUCAACAACUGUUCAAGAACGCUGUUAACAUCACGUGUAGGAAUGCUACGUUUUCUAGAAUUUGACAUUUUCAGCAAUCGAGAAUUACUAUAUUUUGUAAACAGAAAUGCCACUACUAGAAACAGAAUGCUAUAAAUAGAAUGACGUCUUUUGUUUUCAAGGUCAAUAUGUCAGAGCGAUGCAAAAAUAAUAAAAGUGAGAUAUUUC